CCUACGGGUGGCAGCAGUGAGGAAUAUUGGUCAAUGGCCGCAGGGCUGAACCAGCCAAGUCGCGUGAGGGAUGACGGUCCUAUGGAUUGUCACCCUCUUUUGUCAGGGAGCAAAGGGCGCCACGUGUGGCGUUUUGCGAGUACAUGAAGAAAAAGCAUCGGCUAACUCCGUGCCAGCAGCCGCGGUAAUACGUAGGGUGCGAGCGUUACUCGGAAUUACUGGGCGUAAAGGGUGCGCAGGCGGUUGAGUAAGACAGAUGUGAAAUCCCCAAGCUUAACUCGGGAAUGGCAUAUGUGACUGCUCGACUAGAGUGUGUCAGAGGGAGGUGGAAGUCCACGUGUAGCAGUGAAAUGCGUAGAUAUGUGGAAGAACAUCGAUGGCGAAGGCAGCCUCCUGGGACAUAACUGACGCUCAGGCACGAAAGCGUGGGGAGCAAACAGGAUUAGAUACCCUUGUAGUC
rnacentral:rRNA from 1 species